rnacentral:rRNA from 1 species
UGGGGAAUCUUGCGCAAUGGGCGAAAGCCUGACGCAGCGACGCCGCGUGCGGGAAGAAGGCCUUCGGGUUGUAAACCGCUUUCAGGAGGGACGAAGCCACUCGGGUGAACAGCCCAGAGGGUGACGGUACCUCCAGAAGAAGCCCCGGCUAACUACGUGCCAGCAGCCGCGGUAAUACGUAGGGGGCAAGCGUUGUCCGGAUUCAUUGGGCGUAAAGAGCGUGUAGGCGGCCAGGUAGGUCGGUUGUGAAAACUGGAGGCUCAACCUUCAGAGGUCGACCGAAACCAUCUGGCUAGAGUCCGGGAGAGGAGAGUGGAAUUCCUGGUGGAGCGGUGAAAUGCGCAGAUAACAGGAAGAACAACCGUGGCGAAAGCGGCUCUCUGGAACGGUACUGACGCUGAGACGCGAAAGCGUGGGGAGCGAACAGG